rnacentral:lncRNA from 1 species
GGAAGAUGUUGACUUACUGACUUCAGACCCACCAGUAAAGGCAAGCCCCGGUGCACACCCCAAUAUUUCAAGUUAUUUCAAUUUCAUUAUUAUAUUAUAUAGCUUGCAUUACGUCUAGGAGUUGAGAUGAAACCCUAGUUGCAUGAUCUCUUAGGAAUCCAAUGUAUUGAACCCGAGUCCUUAUCGCUCAGAUGCUCUGCUAAAUAGGACCGGUAAAAGUCGGGUAAUUUUCUGUCACUCGCGCGAUAUAGGAGUUGCUUGUUUACAAUUCUGCAAUCACUAUAAGGAUGAUGGACAGGGUCAUGUGCUGUAUCAUGACCUGAGGAUUACCCUGUCUGUUUUGAUAAAAGUUUUAAGGUCGAAAUGUGUGGUAGUGGUGGCUAAGCUUUUGAAAGUACUAGCCACAUACCGCGAAAUAUGGUAAGCGGUAAGCCUAGUACCCGAAUGGCCCGGCAAAUGGACUUGUCUCCACCACUUGACUUUUAUUUUAUGUUUACACGCACCGACGUGUGGGAGUACGUUCUGCAUGGCAGACAGGAAUACGGGUUUUGUAGUCGCGCUACAGACGUAUGUCCUGCACGAGUGAUGUGCGUACGGUCCUGCAGUCGCUUGUGGUGGCCCUGAUCCAUAACCCGGAAUAUGAGGGAAACAGUUGCUUCGGAACGCCCUGUUGGUAUUCCAAGCGUGUGUGUUAGGUUUACCUUGCAAGGUUAAAUUCGAUUCGGAUCGUCCGCCUCUCACGAAGAUUGAGAUUGCUUAUCCCUUCUGCCACAUCGAGUAAAGAAUGUAAUUGUUGAUGGAAUAAUCUUGAUGAAUGAUAAUCUCUAUCUUGCUUGUUUAGUAUAGGUGCUUACCUAGAAUGGCUAAUCAAACUAGAAUCUGAAAGCUAAACCUUGAAGGUAAGUUAUACUCUCUGUUGCUUUUCAGCUGAAAAUAAACCCAAAGCCUCUACAAUGCCUUCAUGAGUCUAGUUACGGGCUAAAGUAUACCCAAUCCCGGGUAAGCCUUGCUGAGUAUUAGUAUACUUAGCCUUGCUAAUUUUAUGUUUUUCAGGUAAAGCCUUUGAAGAUCCUACUCUUCCCCUGUUUUGGCCCUAUGCUCUUCCAGAAGGUUGGUCCGUGGAGUGGGAUCCGUCCCCGACCAACAUUGGUGAUACCGAGUGAUGUCGUGCCUGGGCUUAGCAUGACAUCCAUCUUGACGACGUGUCGUAAGUCAUCGCGUAUGUUUUCCGCUGCUAAAAACCAUAACUCUAACAGUUUGUAAUAACUUUCCUAAAUUUGGAACUUUGUACUAUUGUUGGAGACUCUUGUAAAGUAAUUUUCUUGUGAUGUAAAAUGUGAUGGUGACUGUAUCUCUGGACUCACCUUCGUGUGAGGUAACCUUAUUUGAUCUUGUGUAUCGGUGGUUUAUCGGGACGUUACCCGACAGGCCAAGUGAUUAUACCGUUUGAAGCACGUUGGAGCCCUCAGGAAUGGACUCACGUACUUGAGCCGGUAUAAUUCAGAUUGGUUCUGCCACAG